rnacentral:rRNA from 1 species
UACGUAGGGUGCAAGCGUUGUCCGGAAUUAUUGGGCGUAAAGAGCUCGUAGGCGGUCAGUCGCGUCUGCUGUGAAAACUCGGGGCUUAACUCCGGGCCUGCAGUCGAUACGGGCAGGCUAGAGUGUGGUAGGGGAGAUCGGAAUUCCUGGUGUAGCGGUGAAAUGCGCAGAUAUCAGGAGGAACACCGGUGGCGAAGGCGGAUCUCUGGGCCAUUACUGACGCUGAGGAGCGAAAGCGUGGGGAGCGAACAGG